AGCUAGGGGUGCCCGAACGGGCUGAGAUGGCAAUGGCUGCCUGACCCUUUGAACCUGAUGCGGGUAAUCCUGCCGGAGGGAAGCUGCAUAA
rnacentral:ncRNA from 1 species